UCAUCCUCUGUUUUUUUCUUGGCGUUGACUGAAUCCCUCGUCUCCUUCCUCAUCCCUGAUCGCAGGUGCGUCCGUUCUCGGCAGCCGUUUCCGUCGGCUAUGCAUGCCACCGGCUGCCAUCGACGUGCGCCUUCGGCCGCCUCCCGCACCGGAUCUGCAGGUGUGCCGCUAGAUCCCCGCCACCCGCGCUGCCCCACGAGCUCCUGCUCCACGAGGCGCCAACAUUCUGGAGGAACACGCCGUGAGGGCCAAGGCGGUCGCCGAGGACGGGGGCGGUGGCGCCCAGCCGGCCUCCUCGUCUGGCGCCAUGUUUGACGGGAUCCUUGGGGCUCACCUCGAGAUGGUGUGCUUUUACAGGCUCAAUGGGAAGAUCCAACAAGUAAGAAGCGAUCACUUAAUCUGUAUGUACAUUGAUGCGUGCAUAGUGCAAACCGGGUGUAAACUCUCUGGAUUUUGACGACGAUGACAAUAAGUUGGCAGGUCCGUUCAGGUAGGACAUGAGAAGAUGUUCAGGCCUGAGAAGUUGGAGAGGCUUGGGUGAAAGUUUAGGACGAUGGAGGAGACGCGUCGAGUCCUAUAUGUGUGCAGGCAUACCGAGCUGAGCUUGGCCAUGCUGUCGGAUUGGGCAGAAAAAUAGGCGAGACUGCAUCAUUUUUGCUGUCAAGGACGCGAAAAUAACUUCAUAGUCAAUCCUACUUUCGAUUGGACCAGUUGACGUUGUGUUUUGUAGGUGCAUCUGUAAAAAUGAAAGUAACAUGAUAAUUUUUGUGUGUAAAUAAUAUGAUUUUUUAAGCAUCGUAUGCUUACGUAUG